UACGGAGGGUGCAAGCGUUAUCCGGAAUCACUGGGUUUAAAGGGUGCGUAGGCGGUCUUGUAAGUCAGUCGUGAAAUCACUGGGCUCAACCCAUGUAAUUGCGAUUGAUACUGCAGGACUUGAAUUAGGUUAAGGCAGGCGGAAUGUGACAUGUAGCGGUGAAAUGCAUAGAUAUGUCAUAGAACACCGAUUGCGAAGGCAGCCUGCUGGGCCUUGAUUGACGCUGAGGCACGAAAGCGUGGGGAGCAAACAGG
rnacentral:rRNA from 1 species